ensembl:lncRNA
CAGCGGGGCACUCGCGCGCGACGCCUCGGAGCUCCGUCCAGCGGGAAGUGGGUUCCUCACCCCCGCUCCCCCGGGCCCGACGCUGCCAGAUCCCACGGGAAGGAAGCCCUGUCCCCUUCGCCCCAGACCCUCUGCAGGAGCACCAAGCUUGCAAGAGAGUGACUCCCUUCCAGGAACAGGAAUGUCCAGAGUGGCUUGUUCGCUCCCCACAGGCUGGCAGGAGCGUCCUGGACUCUCACUCUCCACAGUGCUCCAUGCAGCCAGCUGGGGCUUCCUUACGUCCCAGCGGUCCUGGAUGAACCAAAGAAUUGUUGCUUUCAAAUGGUGGUGCUAGAGAACUCUUGGGAGACCCCUGGACUGCAAGGAGAGCAAACCAGUCGAUCCUAAAGGAAAUCAAUCCUGAAUAUUCACUAGCAUGCUACAGUCCAUGGGGUCGCAAAGAGUCGGACACGACCGAGCAACUGAACUGAUUCAUUG